rnacentral:rRNA from 1 species
GACGAACGCUGGCGGCGUGCUUAACACAUGCAAGUCGAACGGAAAGGCCUCAGCUUGCUGGGGUACUCGAGUGGCGAACGGGUGAGUAACACGUGGGUGAUCUGCCUUGCACUCUGGGAUAAGCUUGGGAAACUGGGUCUAAUACCGGAUAUGAACUGCCUUUAGUGUGGUGGUUGGAAAGUUUUUUCGGUGCAAGAUGAGCUCGCGGCCUAUCAGCUUGUUGGUGGGGUAAUGGCCUACCAAGGCGUCGACGGGUAGCCGGCCUGAGAGGGUGUACGGCCACAUUGGGACUGAGAUACGGCCCAGACUCCUACGGGAGGCAGCAGUGGGGAAUAUUGCACAAUGGGCGGAAGCCUGAUGCAGCGACGCCGCGUGGGGGAUGACGGCCUUCGGGUUGUAAACCCCUUUCGACAGGGACGAAGCUUUUUGUGACGGUACCUGUAUAAGAAGCACCGGCUAACUACGUG